CUACGGGCGGCUGCAGUGAGGAAUCUUGCGCAAUGGGGGAAACCCUGACGCAGCAACGCCGUGUGAGUGAUGAAGGUCUUCGGGUCGUAAAGCUCUGUUUGAAGGGACGAAACGUAUUUGAUUAAUACCCAAAUAACUUGACGGUACCUUCAGAGGAAGCACCGGCUAACUCCGUGCCAGCAGCCGCGGUAAUACGGAGGGUGCAGAGCGUUGUUCGGAAUCACUGGGCGUAAAGGGCGUGUAGGUGGCUAAGUAAGUCAGGUGUGAAAUCCUUCCGCUUAACGGGAGAAGUGCACUUGAAACUGCUUAGCUAGAGUACGGGAGAGGAAGGUGGAAUUCCUGGUGUAGAGGUGAAAUUCAUAGAUAUCGGGAAGAACACCGGUGGCGAAGGCGGCCUUCUGGCCCGAUACUGACGCUGAGACGCGAAAGCGUGGGGAGCAAACAGGAUUAGAUACCCCAGUAGUC
rnacentral:rRNA from 1 species